UAGAGUUUGAUCCUGGCUCAGAACGAACGCUGGCGGCGCGCUUAACACAUGCAAGUCGAACGAGAAGCUGUAGCAAUACAGUUGUACAGUGGCGAACGGGUGAAGAAUACAUGGGUGACCUACCCUCGAGUGGGGAAUAACCCGCCGAAAGGCGGGCUAAUGCCGCGUACGCUUCCAUUCUCAAGAGAAUGGACGGAAAGCCGUGCCGUGGGUACGGCGCUCAAGGAUGGGCUCAUGUCCUAUCAGCUUGUUGGUAGGGUAACGGCCUACCAAGGCUACGACGGGUAGCUGGUCUGAGAGGACGAUCAGCCACACUGGCACUGCGACACGGGCCAGACUCCUACGGGAGGCAGCAGUGAGGAAUAUUGCGCAAUGGGCGACAGCCUGACGCAGCGACGCCGCGUGGGGGAUGAAGGUCUUCGGAUUGUAA
rnacentral:rRNA from 1 species